rnacentral:tRNA from 1 species
UUCCAGGUAGCUUAAUGGUAAAGCACCCAACCGGCAAUUAGGGAUCUGGGAUCAAAUCCCGGCCCGGGUU